AAAAAAAAAAAAAAAAAAAAGGUAUUGGGUGGAGGUUUGAAUUUUAUAUAAUUUAAUUUGAACACGCGGGACUGCCAAUAUCUUUGGCCAAGCAGGCCGGGAUACGCGUCCGCGUUUAGGAGUGAUGAGGGGGACAGGAACCCCAAGAAGAGGGGGAUAUCAGCGGGAGUUACUAUCCUGCUGGUGGAUCACGUUCAGAGCCCCAUGAAUUGGGGGGCUACCGGGAGGAGCUACUAUCCUUUCUGGUGAUCACGUGACCAGAGAUCCUCAGGAUUAUUCUGAAAAAUUAAUUCUCACAGUUUGAUAUUGCAGAUAGGAUUAUAUUACAUGUAUUUUGGUUUUGAGUUUCGCAGAAUUAUAUUCCUGAGUUUUCAUGUUCGUACAUAGCAAUUUGCAUCAUGUAUGUGUAUUGGUAUUACAGGCAGAUAUUGCCUAUUUUAAAUGUUAACGCCUUGAAGCGGAAAUAAAUGUCGAGCAAUUGCAA